rnacentral:rRNA from 1 species
AACGAACGCUGGCGGCAUGCCUAACACAUGCAAGUCGAACGAGACCUUCGGGUCUAGUGGCGCACGGGUGCGUAACGCGUGGGAACCUGCCCUUAGGUUCGGAAUAACUCCCCGAAAGGGGUGCUAAUACCGGAUAAUGUCUUCGGUCCAAAGAUUUAUCGCCUUUGGAUGGGCCCGCGUUGGAUUAGCUAGUUGUUAGGGUAAAAGCCUACCAAGGCGACGAUCCAUAGCUGGUCUGAGAGGAUGAUCAGCCACACUGGGACUGAGACACGGCCCAGACUCUUACGGGAGGCAGCAGUGGGGAAUAUUGGACAAUGGGCGAAAGCCUGAUGCAGCAAGGACGGGUGAGUGAUGAAGGCCUUAGGGUUGUAAAGCUCUUUUACCCGGGAUGAUAAUGACAGUACCGGGAGAAUAAGCUCCGGCUAACUCCGUG